AGAGUUUGAUCCUGGCUCAGGAUGAACGCUAGCGGCAGGCUUAAUACAUGCAAGUCGAGGGGCAUCAAGGUACGCGAAAGUGUAUUGUUGGCGACCGGCGGACGGGUGAGUAAUAGGUAGGUAACCUACCUCAUACUGAGGCAUAGCUGGGAGAAAUUCCAGGUAAUUCCUCAUGAGGUUAUAUGACACAUGUGAUAUAAUCAAAGGUAUCGCAAGGUACUGGUAUGAGAUGGGCUUACUGACCAUUAGCUAGUUGGUGAGAUAAGAGCUCACCAAGGCGAAGAUGGUUAGGGGUUUUGAGAGAGAGAUCCCCCACAUUGGAACUGAGAUACGGUCCAGACUCCUACGGGAGGCAGCAGUAGGGAAUAUUGGGCAAUGGGCGGAAGCCUGACCCAGCCAUGCCGCGUGAAGGAAGACGGCCUUAUGGGUUGUAAACUUCUUUACUAUGCGACUAACUAGAUUUACGAGAUAAUUCUAUAGAAUGUAGCAUAGCAAAAAGCACCGGCUAACUCCGUGCCAGCAGCCGCGGUAACACGUAGGGGGCGAGCGUUGUCCGGAAUUACUGGGCGUAAAGGGCGUGUAGGCGGCCGAUCAAGUCAGGUGUGAAAAAUCAGGGCUUAACCCUGAUCGUGCACUUGAAACUGGUUGGCUUGAGUGCAGGAGAGGAAAGUGGAAUUCCCAGUGUAGCGGUGAAAUGGGUAGAUAUUGGGAGGAACACCAGUGGCGAAGGCGACUUUCUGGACUGCAACUGACGCUGAAGGCGCGAAAGCUAGGGGAGCAAACAGGAUUAGAUACCCUGGUAGUCCUAGCCGUAAAGGAUGGGUACUAGGUGUAGGGGGUUUAGAUGCCCUCUGUGCCGCAGUUAACACAUUAAGUACCCCGCCUGGGGAGUACGGCCGCAAGGCUGAAACUCAAAGGAAUUGACGGGGGCCCGCACAAGCGGUGGAGCAUGUGGUUUAAUUCGAAGCAACGCGAAGAACCUUACCAAGGCUUGACAUAUAUCCGGCGGUUUAGGAAACUAAACUUUCUCUUCGGAGACGGAUAUACAGGUGGUGCAUGGUUGUCGUCAGCUCGUGUCGUGAGAUGUUGGGUUAAGUCCCGCAACGAGCGCAACCCCUGUUGCUAGUUGCCAUCAUUAAGUUGGGCACUCUAGCGAGACUGCCGGUGACAAACCGGAGGAAGGUGGGGACGACGUCAAAUCCUCAUGCCCCUUAUGUCUUGGGCUACACACGUGCUACAAUGGCCGGCACAACGGGUAGCGAAGGGGUGACCCGGAGCCAAUCCCUUAAAACCGGUCUCAGUUCGGAUUGCAGGCUGCAAUUCGCCUGCAUGAAGCCGGAAUCGCUAGUAAUCGCGGAUCAGCACGCCGCGGUGAAUACGUUCCCGGGCCUUGUACACACCGCCCGUCACACCACGAAAGUUGGCAACACCCGAAGCCGGUGGGCUAACCGCAAGGAGGCAGCCGUCGAAGGUGGGGCCAAUGAUUGGGGUGAAGUCGUAACAAGGUAACCG
rnacentral:rRNA from 1 species